rnacentral:sRNA from 1 species
UGAUGGGACACACCACGAGAGAAGGUA